rnacentral:rRNA from 1 species
GACGAACGCUGGCGGCGUGCCUAAUACAUGCAAGUUGAGCGAUGAAGCUUGGUGCUUGCCCCAAUUUGAAGAGCAGCGAACGGGUGAGUAACGCGUGGGGAAUCUGCCUUUGAGCGGGGGACAACAUUUGGAAACGAAUGCUAAUACCGCAUAACAACUUUAAACAUAAGUUUUAAGUUUGAAAGAUGCAAUUGCAUCACUCAAAGAUGAUCCCGCGUUGUAUUAGCUAGUUGGUGAGGUAAAGGCUCACCAAGGCGAUGAUACAUAGCCGACCUGAGAGGGUGAACGGCCACAUUGGGACUGAGACCAGGCCCAAACUCCUACGGGAGGCAGCAGUAGGGAAUCGUCGGCAAUGGACGAAAGUCUGACCGAGCAACGCCGCGUGAGUGAAGAAGGUUUUCGGAUCGUAAAACUCGGUUGGUAGAGAAGAACGUUGGUGAGAGUGGAAAGCUCAUCAAGUGACGGUAACUACCCAGAAAGGGACGGCUAACUACGUG